rnacentral:rRNA from 1 species
GACGAACGCUGGCGGCGUGCUUAACACAUGCAAGUCGAACGAAGAGCGAUGGAAGCUUGCUUCUAUCAAUCUUAGUGGCGAACGGGUGAGUAACGCGUAAUCAACCUGCCCUUCAGAGGGGGACAACAGUUGGAAACGACUGCUAAUACCGCAUACGAUCUAAUCUCGGCAUCGAGGAUAGAUGAAAGGUGGCCUCUACAUGUAAGCUAUCACUGAAGGAGGGGAUUGCGUCUGAUUAGCUAGUUGGAGGGGUAACGGCCCACCAAGGCGAUGAUCAGUAGCCGGUCUGAGAGGAUGAACGGCCACAUUGGGACUGAGACACGGCCCAGACUCCUACGGGAGGCAGCAGUGGGGAAUCUUCCGCAAUGGACGAAAGUCUGACGGAGCAACGCCGCGUGAGUGAUGACGGCCUUCGGGUUGUAAAGCUCUGUUAAUCGGGACGAAAGGCCUUCUUGCGAAUAGUGAGAAGAUUGACGGACCGAAA